rnacentral:rRNA from 1 species
AACGGCUGGCGGCGUGCCUAAUACAUGCAAGUCGAACGGUCUUUUCUAUGGAAGCUUGCUUCCACUGAAAAGAUAGUGGCGAACGGGUGAGUAACACGUGGGUAACCUGCCCAUAAGAGGGGGGAUAACAUCCGGAAACGGGUGCUAAUACCGCAUAGUUUUCUUGAUCGCAUGAUCGGGAAAGGAAAGACGGCCUUUGUGCUGUCGCUUAUGGAUGGACCCGCGGCGUAUUAGUUAGUUGGUGAGGUAACGGCUCACCAAGACGAUGAUACGUAGCCGACCUGAGAGGGUGAUCGGCCACAUUGGGACUGAGACACGGCCCAAACUCCUACGGGAGGCAGCAGUAGGGAAUCUUCCGCAAUGGACGAAAGUCUGACGGAGCAACGCCGCGUGAGUGAAGAAAAGGUUUUCGGAUCGUAAAACUCUGUUGUCAGAGAAGAACAAGUUGGAGAGUAACUGCUCCAGCCUUGACGGUAUCUGACCAGAAAGCCACGGCUAACUACGUGCCAGCCGCUGC